GAGAGGGCAAACCGGUAGGAGGAAAAGCGGGUGGUGAAUUGAAAGUUUUUCUGCACCUUGCAGCGAAAAUAGGCAAACAAAGCUGGUCAUUUCUGUAGAUUGAUGCUACAGUGCUUAAGACAGACUCAGGACAUUUCCUUAUCUGAUUGAUUUAAGUAACGGCCACCUGAAUGAGUCACAGGCCACAUUAGUUCCACAGAACAAGGAAAAAACAGAGCAGGCCCAGAAAGCAAAGCUUGAAGAUUGUUUGGUAAUUUUAUGUUUGCUUCCUUCCUUUGGCUGUAAGAAGCAUAAUAGUUGAUCUUUCUGUUUCCUCAUCCAUGGAAGAAGAUGCAGCACCACGGAACAUGGUUAAUGCUAUGUGUACACACUUACACCUGAUAAACCUGCUUGCUCCUGAGGCUAGGAAAGUGGAUCUUACUUAAUUGGUGAGAAAAUAGAAGAAAACACUUCCAAGUCCUUAAGAUUUACAUCCUGUGUUUUCAAAACUCAGUGCUCUAUAAUUAUUGACUUAACAUUUCAGUUCAUUAAACAACCAUGUUAGGGUUGCUUUUCUAGGGUGUGU